UUUCCGGUGUCGGAAUGCGCCCGGCUGGCGUUGCUUGUUUUGGCAUUCGCUUCGUGGGCGGGGCAGUCGGGAGGGGCUUCGGGGGAAGUGACGUCACUCUGCCUUGCCUGCCUGCGUGGGCCGCCUGGCUCCUGGACUUGCUUUCUUGGGAAGGGAAGCCACCAUGGACUCUGCACAGGAAAGCUAUCUCUAUGGGACUGGAGUUCUUCACCUGAGGCAGAAAGAUGUUUUGGACCACCCCUGAUUACAUGGAAGAAAUGUGACAGUCUCUCAGUUCACCAUUCAACUGACAUGCUGAAAGAAAACAGAAGGAAAGUUGUGGGUCCAGUAACAGAAGCAAAAGCAGGUCACGGGUUAAAGGCUAGUCUGGAUGGGCCCUUAGUGUUCCUUCACUUUUGAAGUGAGACCAUGCCAUAUAUUAUGUGUGGAGAAUAAUCCAAUCCUAUCUGAUUUAUCCCACAGUUACAAGUCUAAACUACUGAUAGAUGCUGCACAUACAUACACAAAAUAUAAAGUCAUGCAUACACCAGGUAAAAGUAAGGAUUGGGAAUCUAUGUGGUUUCAAGAGGUGUUUGGAGCAACUGAAAUCUUGCUAUACUAGCAAGAACCACUAAACAAGGGCCCGGGCUGUGGCGCAGGCGGGAGAGCAAGCCAGCUGCAAUUAACUGCAACGAAUCACUCUGACCAGGAGGUCAUGAGUUCGAGGCCGCUCGGAGCCUAUGUUUGUUUGUCUUUGUUCUAUGUUAAAAGGCAUUGAAUGUUUGCCUAUAUGUGUAAUGUGAUCCGCCCUGAGUCCCCUUCGGGGUGAGAAGGGCGGAAUAUAAAUGCUGUAAAUAAAUAAAUAAAUAAAUAAACGGCUCCUAUAGAAAUGGGCAGUGAAGCUGCUACUAAUGGGAAACAUUCAUUUGAUGUAUGUGAUGGGGGAAUACUUAAUUAUAUCCAAACUAUGUGACCCCUUCUCCCUCUGGGCCAUCGAAACCUAGUAAACCCAAUUUAUAAUAAAUAAAGGAAUGAAAGGAGAACUAAAAUUCAGAUUGACUUGACUG
rnacentral:lncRNA from 11 species